rnacentral:rRNA from 1 species
GGUAAGGAUAACGUCGAGAAAUCGGCGCUAAUACCUCAUAAUGCAGCGGAUCCGCACUUGGAUUAUGUUGUUUAAAGGGUUUAACCGCCUUUGGGAUUAGGCUUGCGUCUGACUUAGUUAGUUGGUGUGGUAACGGCACACCAAGGCUACGAUCAGUAACUGGUCUGAGAGGAUGAUCAGUCACACUGGAACUGAGACACGGUCCAGACUCCUACGGGAGGCAGCAGUGAGGAAUAUUGGGCAAUGCUCGAAAGAGUGACCCAGCAACGCCGCGUGGAGGAUGAAGGUAUUCUAUAUCGUAAACUCCUGUGAGAGCAGACGAAAGACAGAUUAUUAAUCUGGAUGACUGUAUGCUCAGAGGAAGCCCCGGCUAACUACGUG